rnacentral:lncRNA from 10 species
UGUCAACCAAGCUUUUAGAGCAGUUUUCUUUAAACAGCAUGAAUGCACAUGGGUACAUAUGGACAGAAACAGACACACACAUUCUCCAUGAGAAAAGAGAGCAAGUUCUAUAUAAGGAACCCAUGAUGGGAAACAGCCAAGUGAAAUGCACCUGGAUGUCUGUGUAAGCAGUCAUAAGAUUGCCAGUGGCCAGCAGAAGACGAAAGGGAAUGCCUGCCUAGGAGAGAAGAGCACGCCUUGUGCAAACAUCAAAGCGCUGCUUCUAAGAGGGCACAAUUAACAGUGCAUACCUCCUGGGAACAUGUUACCAAAAGUUAGAAGGCCAAAUUCCCUCAGCCUCUAUCCAGCAUCACAAAUAACUUCAAUGAGAACCAUAGGAACAUCGAGUGUCCUGUGAAUCUGAGAACUGCAAUGGGCCCUAGGGGCUCUUCCAUCCAGGCUUAUCAUGAUUCAGGAGAAGAAAUUGAGGACCGAAGACAUCAAAUAUAAUAAGCUAAUGGAGGAACUGAGGCUACUUGCCUGGCUCCAGUGCUCUUUCCUUUGCCUCAAAAUCUUUACAGGUCAGCCAUCUAUCAUGUGUAGAAUAAGCAAACUGAAUUAACAUUGGAAAUAUUAAAAGAACAGAGGUUGCGUGGAUAUUGGUUGGAACAGAGAAGAAGUUUUCACAAGGAAUUAAAGUAACACCAGCUGCUCACUGCUCUGACUUAAACCAUACAGCAACUCCAGAAACAUGGGGGGUGUUGUUGAGUGGCAAGCUUUGCAUAUGCUGCUCUGCUUCCCCAUCUAGACCAUGAGCAUCUCAAAGGCAGAAACAACAUUUAAUUCAUCUUUGCAUCCCAACAGCCUAACCCUGAGUCUGGCAUUUAGUGGACACUUAAUGAAUGUUUGCUGAAUCGAAUUGAAUGUGCAUGGAAACUCUGGGAAAAAUCCUCCAGAAUCCUUCAGAUGGUGAAUGUGCAGUGAAGAGGUGGAAUGAGGCAAUUCCCUCAAAUUACAAAUUCACCUAUUUUGUUAAGAAAACAUUAAGAUGGAUAUCUUUUAUUUUUCUGUGUGAAAAUAAAGAAAAAAGAAUGCUGAA